rnacentral:rRNA from 1 species
UACAGAGGGUGCAAGCGUUGUUCGGAAUUAUUGGGCGUAAAGCGCGUGUAGGCGGCUUUGCAAGUCGGGUGUGAAAGCCCUCAGCUCAACUGAGGAAGUGCGCCCGAAACUGCAGAGCUUGAGUGCCGGAGAGGGUGGCGGAAUUCCCCAAGUAGAGGUGAAAUUCGUAGAUAUGGGGAGGAACACCGGUGGCGAAGGCGGUUGCCUGGAGCUUUGCUGACGCUGAUGCGCGAAAGCGUGGGGAGCGAUCCGG